GCGGCCGUCGUCUAGCCUGGACUAGGACGUCAGCCUUCCGAGCUGAUAAUCCCGGGUUCAAAUCCCGGCGGCCGCACCA
rnacentral:tRNA from 1 species